rnacentral:rRNA from 1 species
AGUCAAGUAAUUAAGUGCAUGUGGUGGAUGCCUUGGCAGUCAGAGGCGAAGAAAGACGUGAUAGCCUGCGAAAAGCUCCGGGGAGGCGGCAAAUAUCCAUUGAUCCGGAGAUGUCUGAAUGGGGGAACCCACCUACUAUAAGGUAGGUAUCAAUAACUGAAUACAUAGGUUAUUGAAGCGAACGAGGGGAAGUGAAACAUCUCAGUACCCUUAGGAAAAGAAAUCAAUUGAGAUUCCCUUAGUAGCGGCGAGCGAACGGGGAUCAGCCCAUUAAGUGAUGUGUGUUUUAGCGGAACGCUCUGGGAAGUGCGACCGUAGAGGGUGAUAGUCCCGUACACGAAAGGGCACACAUCAUGAUGACGAGUAGGGCGAGGCACGUGAAACCUUGUCUGAAUAUGGGGGGACCAUCCUCCAAGGCUAAAUACUCCUGACUGACCGAUAGUGAACCAGUACCGUGAGGGAAAGGCGAAAAGAACCCCUGUGAGGGGAGUGAAAUAGAUCCUGAAACCGCAUGCAUACAAGCAGUGGGAGCCGACUUGUUCGGUGACUGCGUACCUUUUGUAUAAUGGGUCAGCGACUUACAUUCAGUAGCAAGGUUAACCGCAUAGGGGAGCCGUAGAGAAAUCGAGUCUUAAUAGGGCGAAUAGUUGCUGGGUGUAGACCCGAAACCAGGCGAUCUAUCCAUGAGCAGGUUGAAGGUUGGGUAACACUAACUGGAGGACCGAACCCACUGUCGUUGAAAAGCCAGGGGAUGACUUGUGGAUAGGGGUGAAAGGCUAAUCAAGCCUGGUGAUAGCUGGUUCUCCCCGAAAGCUAUUUAGGUAGCGCCUCGGACGAAUACCAUAGGGGGUAGAGCACUGUUUCGGCUAGGGGGUCAUCCCGACUUACCAAACCGAUGCAAACUCCGAAUACCUAUGAGUACUAUCCGGGAGACAGACUGCGGGUGCUAACGUCCGUAGUCAAGAGGAAAACAAUCCAGACCGCCAGCUAAGGCCCCAAAAUCAUAGUUAAGUGGGAAACGAUGUGGGAAGGCAUAGACAGCUAGGAGGUUGGCUUAGAAGCAGCCACCCUUUAAAGAAAGCGUAAUAGCUCACUAGUCGAGUCGGCCUGCGCGGAAGAUGUAACGGGGCUAAAACUAUGUGCCGAAGCUGCGGAUGUAACUUUAGAGUUACGUGGUAGGGGAGCGUUCUGUAAGCCGAAGAAGGUGUAUUGAGAAGUAUGCUGGAGGUAUCAGAAGUGCGAAUGCUGACGUGAGUAACGACAAAACGGGUGAAAAACCCGUUCGCCGAAAGACCAAGGGUUCCAGUCCAACGUUAAUCGGGGCUGGGUGAGUCGACCCCUAAGGCGAGGCCGAAAGGCGUAGUCGAUGGGAAAUGGGUUAAUAUUCCCAUACUUCUGUGUAAUGCGAUGAGAGGACGGAGAAGGUUAAGUCAGCCUGGCGUUGGUAGUCCAGGUGGAAGACAGUAGGCAUGCAUCUUAGGCAAAUCCGGGGUGCUCUAUGCUGAGAGUCGAUAUCAAGCUGUACUUGUACAGUGAAGUGGCUGAUACCAUACUUCCAAGAAAAGUCUCUAAGCUUCAGUUACACAGGAAUCGUACCCGAAACCGACACAGGUGGUCAGGUCGAGUAGACCAAGGCGCUUGAGAGAACUCUGCUGAAGGAACUAGGCAAAAUGGUACCGUAACUUCGGGAGAAGGUACGCUGCUGAGGGUGAUGGGACUAGCUCCCUGAGCGCUUGGCAGCCGCAGAAACCAGGCCGCUGCAACUGUUUAUUAAAAACAUAGCACUCUGCAAACACGAAAGUGGACGUAUAGGGUGUGAUGCCUGCCCGGUGCUGGAAGGUUAAUUGAUGGGGUUAGCGUAAGCGAAGCUCUUGAUCGAAGCCCCAGUAAACGGCGGCCGUAACUAUAACGGUCCUAAGGUAGCGAAAUUCCUUGUCGGGUAAGUUCCGACCUGCACGAAUGGCAUAAUGAUGGCGGCGCUGUCUCCAGCAGAGGCUCAGUGAAAUCGAAAUCGCUGUGAAGAUGCAGUGUACCCGCGGCUAGACGGAAAGACCCCGUGAACCUUUACUGCAGCUUGACAUUGAACUUUGACCUUACUUGUGUAGGAUAGGUGGGAGGCUAUGAAGAUGUGACGCCAGUU